rnacentral:rRNA from 1 species
GACGAACGCUGGCGGCGUGCUUAACACAUGCAAGUCGUACGGUAAGGCCCUUUCGGGGGUACACGAGUGGCGAACGGGUGCGUAACACGUGAGUAACCUGCCCACAACUUUGGGAUAACGCUAGGAAACUGGUGCUAAUACUGGAUAUGUGCUCCUGCUGCAUGGUGGGGGUUGGAAAGCUCCGGCGGUUGUGGAUGGACUCGCGGCCUAUCAGCUUGUUGGUGGGGUAGUGGCCUACCAAGGCGGCGACGGGUAGCCGGCCUGAGAGGGUGACCGGCCACAGUGGGACUGAGAGACGGCCCAGACUCCUACGGGAGGCAGCAGUGGGGAAUAUUGCACAAUGGGCGCAAGCCGGAUGCAGCAACGCCGCGUGCGGGAUGACGGCCUUCGGGUUGUAAACCGCUUUCAGCAGGGACGAAGCUUUUUGUGACGGUACCUGCAGAAGAAGCACCGGCUAACUACGUG